rnacentral:rRNA from 1 species
UACGAAGGGGGCUAGCGUUGCUCGGAAUUACUGGGCGUAAAGGGCGCGUAGGCGGACAGUUUAGUCAGAGGUGAAAGCCCAGGGCUCAACCUUGGAAUUGCCUUUGAUACUGGCUGUCUUGAGUGCGGGAGAGGUGUGUGGAACUCCGAGUGUAGAGGUGAAAUUCGUAGAUAUUCGGAAGAACACCAGUGGCGAAGGCGACACACUGGCCCGUAACUGACGCUGUGGCGCGAAAGCGUGGGGAGCAAACAGG